rnacentral:rRNA from 1 species
ACGGAGGGGGCGAGCGUUAUUCGGAAUUAUUGGGCGUAAAGGGCGCGUAGGCGGCUCGAUAAGUCAAAGGUGAAAUCCCUCGGCUCAACUGGGGAACUGCCUUUGAAACUGUAGAGCUUGAGUCCGGGAGGGGGUAGCGGAAUUCCCAGUGUAGCGGUGAAAUGCGUAGAUAUUGGGAGGAACACCAGUGGCGAAGGCGGCUACCUGGACAAUUGCUGACGCUCAGGCACGAAAGCGUGGGGAGCAAAAGGGA